ACAGCAUUGACAGAUUAUGUGUCAUUUUUGUGUAAGAUUUCACAGAAUGUGUGAAACCUGAAGUUAAGAGAUUCAUUUCUGGGUCGUGCUACAACAAGUGAGAAACUAACGGCCGUUUGGCUGUCCAAUCGCGUGACUGUGGACAUUUGAAAGCAGACUUCCGCCCGCCUUUUCUACCGUUGGAAAUGCAAGAUGCGGCGACUUGACUUCAGACACCGAGAGAGGCUGGCGGCCCAGGUCUUGUGGCCACAUCUGUCCAAGCUCCUACUCUGAUUGAACAGUUGGAUGAUCAGACUGAUGAUGAAAAGUGCUACACAGUUCUCACACAUCUUCUGACUCCGAAGCCGCUGCAGUGUAAAAUCUGAGAUGUCUUUUCUGGUUGAUUUUGUGCAGAUUUCUGACAGCGACAGCGAUGGUGAGGGAAGCAGUGUACCGAACUCUCAGAUGACUCGGACCAGGUGACCAAACCCAUGCAAAGCACAAUGACUGUGCUGAGGCGUUCCGCCCCCCUCCCCCUCCACACCACUCAAGGCACGGCGGCGGCCCAACAGCAAACUAACGGAGAUUAACAUGAGGCUGGAUGCGCUUGGCUCCCUGCUGCGUCCAUCACCAGAGGGGCCGGGAUUGCUGCGGCAGCUAGCCAAUUAAAGGAGGAGGAUGAAGGAGAGGAGUCUGACGAUGCCGACAUCGCCAUCGUAUGCAGUCCACGCCCUCGCAGGAAAACCAGCCAAUGAAAACGCUUGCAGCAGCAUCAGCAGAACACACCGGCACGACUGACAGAGCUUCUGAAGCAUGCAGUGGAAGACCUGUCAGUCAAGCUAAAGGUCCCGCCCUCCAACCUGCUGCUGCUGCACGGAGAGGCGGAACUUAACACCUCACACACUAUUGGCCAGCUAGGACUCUGCAUCGCUGACAUCUUUGUCUGGAACCAACUUCACAUCCCUCUUCACUGCACUACUGACACUGAGAUGGAAUCCACAACCCAACCACUAGUGGUCUGCAUUGGGAACCUGAAGACUCUGUCAUAACCGCCAGGAAUGACCGUGUGACCAUUCCCGUUGCAGACGGCCUGACUUGCACAAUUGACAAGCUGUUCAAGCUUUACUGGGUCUGCAACUUGUUAUAUCCAGCACAGCUCAGCUCUGUUUUCACCUUCUUUGAAUAUGUUUAUGACGUUCCCAUCUCAACCAACAAACGAACAAAGGCACUACAACUUCUCUCAAAGCUUCCCAGCAGCCCAGUGAUCACUCAACAUGUGUUUAUGCCCAAAAUGUAAAUAGCUACUACAGACAUCAAGAAAGUAGUUUGGCAUCUUUGUCAUGUACACGCUUUGUCAGAUGCACAGGAUAUGAUGAUAAUUUGCAGCCAAGAUGGCUGUUCAAGUGUACAAGGACUUACUAUGUAGACACCACCUACGUAGAUAUGUUGUAAAACUGGACGAUUGUGAAAUGAUAUGAUGUGGCAGAUGUAAGACCCAUUGAUGUAAUGCAGAGUUUUCAUUCAGAUGAACUGUCUCUUAACCCAAGGUACAAUGUCUUUUCUUCCAAUAUGUUGGAUCCUACAGUAUUUCAUAAGAAAGUUUUCAAGAGUAUUUAACACUACUUCGAAUUUCAAGACUUUUGGGUUUUGUAAUACACCGGUAAUGUUGUUAAGAGAUGAUAGUGUACGAGUCAUAAUCAUCAAUACUUCAUGAAAUUCGCAGUGGUGUUAAUUAUUCUUGAAAAAGAUCACAUUUGUUAUCUCCCCCUCUUCUGAAAAGCCUAACAAAAAAGAAUAUGACAGUAAAGUUAAUGUAAUACAAUUUUUUUUUAAUUGAAUGUAAACACAACUCUACAAAAAAAAAAAAAAACGUUGCAGAGGUAUGUAGUCAAGACUUUUGAAGAUUUAACCUUGUAAACAAAAGUGUUUGCUAAAUAAAAGUAAACCCCCCCUGUCA